GAUGAACGCUGGCGGCGUGCUUAACACAUGCAAGUCGAACGGAAAGGCGCCUACUUGCCGGGUUACUCGAUUGCCGAACGGGGGAGUAACACGUGGGGGUUCUGCCCUUCACUUCGGGAUAAGCCUUGGAAACUGGGUCUAAUACCGGAUAGGAUAUUGUUUUGGAUGCGAUUGUGGAGAGUGUGUCGGUGUGGGAGGAGCUCGCGGCUGAUCCCCUUGUUGGUGGGGUAAUGGCUUACCAAGGGGUCGACGGGGAGCCGGCCUGAGAGGGUGUACGGCCACAGUGGGACUGAGAUACGGCCCAGACGCCUACGGGAGGAAGCAGUGGGGAAUAGUGCACAAUGGGCGCAGGCCGGAUGCAGCGACGCCGCGUGGGGGAUGACGGCCUUCGGGUUGUAAACUCCUUUCGCUAGGGACGACGCGCAAGUGACGGUACCUGGAGAAGAAGCACCGGCUAACUACGG
rnacentral:rRNA from 1 species